CCUACGGGAGGCAGCAGUGAGGAAUAUUGGUCAAUGGACGCAAUUCUGAACCAGCCAUGCCGCGUGCAGGAAGACGGCUCUAUGAGUUGUAAACUGCUUUUGUACGAGGAUAAACGCAGAUACGCGUAUCUGUCUGAGAGUAUCGGACGAAUAAGGAUCGGCUAACUCCGUGCCAGCAGCCGCGGUAAUACGGAGGAUUCGAGCGUUAUCCGGAUUUAUUGGGUUUAAAGGGUGCGUAGGCGGUCGGAUAAGUUAGAGGUGAAAUUCCGAGGCUCAACUUCGGACUUGCCUCUGAUACUGUUCGGCUAGAGAGUACUUGCGGUACGCGGAAUGUACGGUGUAGCGGUGAAAUGCUUAGAGAGCAUACAGAACACCGAUUGCGAAGGCAGCGUACCA
rnacentral:rRNA from 1 species